GCACUGUUGAGGAGUCCCGCAAUAGGACGAAAUGGCCGUCCAGUGC
rfam:Schistosoma mansoni, Puerto Rico, WGS project CABG01000000 data, contig: 0248